rnacentral:rRNA from 1 species
CCAGAGAACUUAGCAGAGAUGCUUUGGUGCCUUCGGGAACUCUGAGACAGGUGCUGCAUGGCUGUCGUCAGCUCGUGUUGUGAAAUGUUGGGUUAAGUCCCGCAACGAGCGCAACCCUUAUCCUUUGUUGCCAGCGGCUCGGCCGGGAACUCAAAGGAGACUGCCGGUGAUAAACCGGAGGAAGGUGGGGAUGACGUCAAGUCAUCAUGGCCCUUACGGCCAGGGCUACACACGUGCUACAAUGGCGCAUACAAAGAGAAGCGACCUCGCGAGAGCAAGCGGACCUCAUAAAGUGCGUCGUAGUCCGGAUUGGAGUCUGCAACUCGACUCCAUGAAGUCGGAAUCGCUAGUAAUCGUAGAUCAGAGUGCUACGGUGAAUACGUUCCCGGGCCUUGUACACACCGCCCGUCACACCAUGGGAGUGGGUUGCAAAAGAAGUAGGUAGCUUAACCUUCGGGAGGGCGCUUACCACUUUGUGAUUCAUGACUGGGGUGAAGUCGUAACAAGGUAAGCGUAGCGAG